GACGAACGCUGGCGGCGUGCUUAACACAUGCAAGUCGAACGGAAAGGCCCUGCUUUUGUGGGGUGCUCGAGUGGCGAACGGGUGAGUAACACGUGAGUAACCUGCCCUUGACUUUGGGAUAACUUCAGUAAACUGGGGCUCAUACCGGAUAUGAGCUCCUGCUGCAUGGUGUGGGUUGUAAAGUUUCGGCGGUUGGGGAUGGACUCGCGGCUUAUCAGCUUGUUGGUGAGGUAGUGGCUUACCAAGGCUUUGACGGGUAGCCGGCCUGAGAGGGUGACCGGCCACAUAGGGACUGAGAUACGGGCAAGACUGCUACGGGAGGAAGCAGUGGGGAAUAUUGCAAGAUGGGCGGAAGCCUGAUGCAGCAACGCCGGGUGCGGGAUGACGGCCGUCGGGGUGUAAACCGCUUUCGCCUGUGAAGAAGAGUGAGUGACGGUAAUGGGUAAAGAAGCAACGGCUAACUACGUG
rnacentral:rRNA from 1 species